rnacentral:rRNA from 1 species
UACGUAGGGUCCAAGCGUUAAUCGGAAUUACUGGGUGUAAAGCGUGAGUAGGCGGUUUCGCAAGUCCGAUGUGAAAUCCCCGGGCUUAACCUGGGAACUGCGUUGGAAACUACGAAGCUAGAGUGCGGCAGAGGGGGGUGGAAUUCCAGGUGUAGCAGUGAAAUGCGUAGAGAUCUGGAGGAACACCGAUGGCGAAGGCAGCCCCCUGGGUUAGCACUGACGCUCAUACACGAAAGCGUGGGGAGCAAACAGG